GAGAGGCAGUGGCAGAGGGGGGGCACCUUUUAUUUCUAUUUUUAAAGGGACAGGACACUAAUUCUACCCCACUUCAACCUUGAAUUCAGGGGGGUGGGGGGAAGGCGGCUGAGUUCCUUCCCCCACCUUCCAGCCCUGAGCCCUGAGAGGGGGAUUGAGCCUGAGAGAGGAGAAGGAGUUUCUUCUUCUUCGAAAACCCCCAUCCACGACUCCUACCCCCUCACCCCUCCAACUCGCCUCCCUCCCGAGCCCCCUCCACCCUCCUCCUCUUUGGCCGUGAGAGGAGGAGAGAAAGAAACCAAAAGCCUCUUAGCAACACAGACCCUUUGCUGCUGCUGUUGCUGCUGCUGCUGCUGUUGCUGCUGCUGCUACUGCUGCUGCUGCUACUGCUGCUGCUGCUACUGCUGCUGCUUGGCCCUGGCUGGAGACAUCUCACUACACCCAGGAGCAGCCACUUCCCCAGCUCUCCUCCUCCUCCUUCGCCUCCUCCUCCUCCACUCCCCCCCUUUAUUACCCUUUGUGUCAUCCUCCACAGCUCCAGGGAAGGCACUCAAAAGUGGGGGGCAGGAAAGCCCACAUAUGACAGUGGACAUAGAGGACAACGCAGAUAUAGAACAUUUCUUUUAUCACAGUAAGUUCUUUGGAUAACACUGCUCUAGCACAAUACUUUCUAAAAUGUGUCCCAUGAAUCACAGUGGUG
rnacentral:lncRNA from 1 species